GACGUAGGGCGCAAGCGUUGUCCGGAUUUAUUGGGCGUAAAGAGCUCGUAGGCGGCUCGUUGCGUCGGCUGUGAAAACCCGCAGCUCAACUGUGGGCUUGCAGCCGAUACGGGCGGGCUGGAGUUCGGUAGGGGAGACUGGAAUUCCUGGUGGAGCGGUGGAAUGCGUAGAUAUCUAUCGGAAUGCCGAAAGUGAAGACAGCCCGCUGGGGCUUUCCUGACGCUGAGGCACGGAAAGCGUGGGGGAGCAAACGGGG
rnacentral:rRNA from 1 species